UUUUAUUGUAUUUUGUAGAAAUAAUAUUUAAUUGCUUUCGUUUUACAGUGUUUGUGUUAUUAUUUGAUUAAGGGAAUAGCUGCUGCAUUUUAAUUGUUGAUAAAAGAGUACUAACCCCUCAAGAUGGCGGCCAAAGGCGGUUUGAAGACGAUCGCCAAUGAAGAGAAUGAGGAGAGAUUCGGCUAUGUGUUUGCCGUCUCUGGACCUGUGGUGACUGCUGAGAAGAUGUCUGGGUCCGCUAUGUACGAGUUGGUGCGUGUGGGCUACAACGAGCUGGUCGGAGAGAUCAUCCGGUUGGAAGGGGACCUUGCCACCAUUCAGGUGUACGAAGAAACAUCAGGUGUCACAGUCGGUGACCCAGUACUCCGCACAGGCAAGCCGCUCUCCGUGGAGUUGGGUCCUGGCAUCCUGGGCUCCAUCUUUGACGGCAUCCAGCGUCCGCUGAAGGACAUCAAUGAGCUCACACAGUCCAUUUACAUCCCUAAAGGUGUGAAUGUGCCGUGCUUGGCGCGCGACCACGAUUGGGAGUUCAACCCUUUGAAUAUUAAGGUCGGCUCGCACAUCACGGGCGGAGAUCUGUACGGCAUCGUGCACGAGAACACCCUGGUCAAGCACAAGAUGCUGAUGCCGCCUCGCGCCAAGGGUACCGUUACAUAUGUCGCUCCUACAGGAAAUUACAAAGUUACCGACGUGGUGCUGGAAACCGAGUUCGACGGCACCAAGACUCAGUACACCAUGCUGCAAGUGUGGCCGGUGCGGCAGCCCAGGCCUGUGACAGAGAAGAUGCCCGCCAACCAUCCGCUGCUUACAGGACAGCGCGUUCUGGAUUCUCUGUUCCCCUGCGUCCAAGGCGGCACCACGGCGAUCCCCGGCGCCUUCGGCUGCGGCAAGACGGUCAUCUCGCAGGCGCUGUCCAAGUACUCCAACUCCGACGUCAUCAUCUACGUGGGCUGCGGGGAGCGCGGUAACGAGAUGUCUGAAGUACUGCGUGACUUCCCCGAGUUGACAGUGGAAAUCGACGGAGUCACAGAAUCCAUCAUGAAGCGUACGGCGUUGGUCGCCAACACAUCCAACAUGCCUGUAGCUGCUCGAGAAGCUUCCAUCUAUACAGGCAUCACGCUGUCGGAGUACUUCCGCGACAUGGGCUACAACGUGUCGAUGAUGGCGGACUCCACGUCGCGCUGGGCGGAGGCGCUGCGCGAGAUCUCGGGCCGCCUGGCCGAGAUGCCGGCGGACUCUGGCUACCCCGCCUACCUGGGCGCGCGCCUCGCCUCCUUCUACGAGCGCGCCGGCCGCGUGCAGUGCCUCGGGAACCCCGACCGGGAAGGCUCCGUAUCCAUCGUGGGCGCCGUGUCUCCCCCCGGCGGUGACUUCUCUGACCCCGUGACCUCCGCCACGCUGGGCAUCGUGCAGGUGUUCUGGGGGCUGGACAAGAAGCUGGCGCAGAGGAAGCACUUCCCGUCCAUCAACUGGCUGAUAUCCUACAGCAAGUACAUGCGCGCGCUGGACGACUUCUACGACAAGAACUACCCCGAAUUCGUGCCGCUCAGGACUAAGGUAAAGGAGAUCCUGCAGGAGGAGGAGGACCUCUCAGAAAUCGUCCAGCUGGUCGGCAAGGCGUCCCUGGCCGAGACAGACAAGAUCACGCUGGAGGUGGCCAAACUGCUCAAAGACGACUUCUUGCAACAGAACAGCUACUCGGCGUACGACCGCUUCUGCCCGUUCUACAAGACGGUGGGGAUGCUGCGCAACAUCAUCUCGUUCUACGACAUGUCGCGGCACGCCGUGGAGUCCACCGCGCAGUCCGACAACAAGGUCACCUGGAACGUCAUCCGCGACGCCAUGGGCAGCGUGCUCUACCAGCUCUCCUCCAUGAAGUUCAAGGUUCAUGUUGUGCUGCUCUCACUCACACACACACACACACAACAAGGUCACCUGGAACGUCAUCCGCGACGCCAUGGGCAGCGUGCUCUACCAGCUCUCCUCCAUGAAGUUCAAGGUUCAUGUUGUGCUGCUCUCACUCACACACACACACACACAACAAGGUCACCUGGAACGUCAUCCGCGACGCCAUGGGCAGCGUGCUCUACCAGCUCUCCUCCAUGAAGUUCAAGGUUCAUGUUGUGCUGCUCUCACUCACACACACACACACACAACAAGGUCACCUGGAACGUCAUCCGCGACGCCAUGGGCAGCGUGCUCUACCAGCUCUCCUCCAUGAAGUUCAAGGACCCGGUGAAAGACGGCGAGGCCAAGAUCAAGGCGGAUUUCGACCAGCUGCUGGAAGAUAUGUCGGCCGCUUUCCGCAAC
rnacentral:misc_RNA from 1 species